AGUUUGAUCCUGGCUCAGAACGAACGCUGGCGGCAGGCUUAACACAUGCAAGUCGAGCGCCCCGCAAGGGGAGCGGCAGACGGGUGAGUAACGCGUGGGAACGUACCUUUUGCUACGGAAUAACUCAGGGAAACUUGUGCUAAUACCGUAUGUGCCCUUCGGGGGAAAGAUUUAUCGGCAAAGGAUCGGCCCGCGUUGGAUUAGCUAGUUGGUGAGGUAAAGGCUC
rnacentral:rRNA from 1 species